AACAAACGCUGGCGGCGUGCCUAACACAUGCAAGUCGUACGAGAAAGGGUCCUUCGGGGCCUGAGUAAAGUGGCGCACGGGUGAGUAACGCGUGGAUAAUCUGCCCUUCAGUUGGGAAUAACUCAUCGAAAGGUGGGCUAAUACCGAAUAAUGCUGUGAGACCUCGGUUGAUCAGCCAAAGAGAGCCUCUGCUUGCAAGCCCUCGCUGAAGGAUGAGUCCGCGUACCAUUAGCUAGUUGGUAGGGUAAUGGCCUACCAAGGCGACGAUGGUUAGCUGGUCUGAGAGGAUGAGCAGCCACAAUGGAACUGAGACACGGUCCAGACUCCUACGGGAGGCAGCAGUGAGGAAUCUUGCGCAAUGGGGGCAACCCUGACGCGGCAACGCCGCGUGAGUGAGGAAGGUCUUCGGAUCGUAAAGCUCUGUCGGAUGGAAAGAACCGCAUAGGGGUAAACAGCCCCUGUGUCUGACGGUACCAUCAAAGGAAGCACCGGCUAACUCCGUGCCAGCCGCCGCCGUAACAC
rnacentral:rRNA from 1 species